rnacentral:rRNA from 1 species
AUGUCCUCCUCCAGCCAAAUCGUCUCCCCCGGCCUCAACUACACAACCUUAGAACCCCUUACCAGAACCAACUAUGUUCUCUGGCGAGCCCAAGCUCGCUCCCAGAUCAUGGGGGCGGGGCUAUAUGGGUAUAUCGAUCAAACAACCCCCGAGCCUUCCAAAACCAUAGUCACAAAAACCUCCGAUGGGAAAGAUCAGAUCGUUUCCAAUCCUGCCUACAACCCUUGGCUAGUCCAAGAUCAACAAAUAGUGGCCGACCUACUCCGAAACCUCUCCAAAGAACUCCUGAUUCAGGUUGCCUCCUGCUACCUCUUGAUCACUGUGUUGGUUUUCUCUUGA